rnacentral:rRNA from 1 species
GAGACAGCAGCCGCCACGGGAAUACGGAGGGAGCUAGCGUUAUUCGGAAUUACUGGGCGUAAAGCGCACGUAGGCGGCUUUGUAAGUAAGAGGUGAAAGCCCGGAGCUCAACUCCGGAACUGCCUUUUAGACUGCAUCGCUUGAAUCCAGGAGAGGUGAGUGGAAUUCCGAGUGUAGAGGUGAAAUUCGUAGAUAUUCGGAAGAACACCAGUGGCGAAGGCGGCUUACUGGCUCAUUCUAGACGCUGAGGUGCGAAAGCGUGGGGAGCAAACAGGAUUAGAUACCCCUGUAGUCCCUGUCUCUUAUAC